rnacentral:lncRNA from 1 species
AAGCCACAGACACUGCUUCUCAUCUCCAUACCUCCGAGCUCCUGACAGGCUGCAGCUGGUAACGCCUCCCCCUCCUGGCCCAGCUUGCCUAGCUGCCCUCACCUUGACAACCACAGAAAAGCCAAAGACUGCACACAUGUGCACCACACUAUUUAUCCUCCUGCCUGUGUUUGCUACAGUAGCCCCACAAAAAACAUAACAAGGCCACAACAGAGAUGCGACACGUGCCAUGUACCAACUCCCCACACUUCUCAAGGAGGAAAGGCACCUGGUGAUGUUCUGCAGUUCAUCCCCUGCAGCACCUGAGCACCCUUCUCUCUCAGCAUACAUCCCUGCCUGCUGGAGGAAAGCCAGGGACCUGCACGAAACAUCAGCACGCGGCGUCCCAGCCCAUGCAGUUGUCAUGGACAACAGGAGUUCAGAGGAAAGUGUGGGGCAUGUAGACCAUAUGGGCUGCAGGAAUUCAGGUAGCUAUCAGAGUCCAGGAUGAUUUAGGGAAAGGAGUUUACAAAACAGGCUUAUUUUGGAAAGGUUGGUGCUGAGAAGCAGUCCUUCCAAAUAUUGGGGGGCAGUCAAAGCAAGGGCAAAGAGAUGCAGAUGGGAUAGAGACAGUACUCAGGGAGGGGACAGGGAGGAACCACCUUCCUGGCCAAGGCUGGUGAGGCAGUCUUGCACCAAGGUUUAGGGCAGGGGUAUCCAAUCUUUUGGCUUCCAUAGGCGACAUUGGAAGAAGAAA